rnacentral:rRNA from 1 species
GGCCUAACACAUGCAAGUCGAGCGGUAGAGAGAAGCUUGCUUCUCUUGAGAGCGGCGGACGGGUGAGUAAUGCCUAGGAAUCUGCCUGGUAGUGGGGGAUAACGCUCGGAAACGGACGCUAAUACCGCAUACGUCCUACGGGAGAAAGCAGGGGACCUUCGGGCCUUGCGCUAUCAGAUGAGCCUAGGUCGGAUUAGCUAGUUGGUGAGGUAAUGGCUCACCAAGGCGACGAUCCGUAACUGGUCUGAGAGGAUGAUCAGUCACACUGGAACUGAGACACGGUCCAGACUCCUACGGGAGGCAGCAGUGGGGAAUAUUGGACAAUGGGCGAAAGCCUGAUCCAGCCAUGCCGCGUGUGUGAAGAAGGUCUUCGGAUUGUAAAGCACUUUAAGUUGGGAGGAAGGGCAGUAAAUUAAUACUUUGCUGUUUUGACGUUACCGACAGAAUAAGCACCGGCUAACUCUGUG